GCAGAGGUGCUGGAAUGGCAGACAGGCAUGUCUCAGAAGCAUGUGAGGAAACUCGUGAGGGUUCAAGUCCCUUUCUCUGCA
rnacentral:tRNA from 1 species